GGGUGAGUAAUAUAUAGGAAUCUACCUAGCAGUAUGGAAUAACUUUAGGAAACUAAAGCUAAUACCAUAUAUUACCGAUAUGUAAAUAUCGGGAAAGAUUUAUCGCUGCUAGAUGAGCCUAUAUCAGAUUAGCUUGUUGGUGAGGUAAUGGCUCACCAAGGCGAUGAUCUGUAGCUGGUCUGAGAGGAUGAUCAGCCACACUGGGACUGCGACACGGCCCAGACUCC
rnacentral:rRNA from 1 species